GGCUUUACCGAGCUCAGCGGCUCUGGUCCGAGCAGAGAUAUAUAUAUAUAUAUAUUUUAAAAAGGGGGCAGGUACAGCAAAUGUACAGCCUUUUGCACUCUGCAUCGUAAACAUAUAUUGGAUGCUAACAUUGUCUUCUAUGAUGUGCAACACAAACACCUCUGCUGAAAUGUCAGAAAAAGUAGUUUGGGGUUUCAUGACCCUUUAAACGCUUGUGUUUUUUUGGGUCGGCAGCUUAUAAAAAAGUAGUUCUGUUUUUUUUAGCUUGUUUACUGUACAGAUUGUCACAUACUGUAGCAGCUUUUAGAUAUUGUCCUCCUCCUGGAGGAGGGCCAGGUGGAGAAUCUGGAAAUCUCGAUGAAAGAGCAUUUUUUUCUGUCUCUGGGUCCCAGGAGGGCACGGAGAUUUGUGGACGGCCAAGCACCGGACCUCACUCAUCCUCCUCCUUCACCAGAUGGCAGCAGCGUGCGGUUCGAGAGUGCCAACAAAGGCGCUACUUACGCACCCUCUGCCAACCUGUGGAACCAGACAGACGCUAUAUUGGAGGAAGAAUACAGUGACAGCAAAAAGAUGACCCUGAUAUCUGCCAGCACACAACCUGAUGACAUCUCUGAGGGGUAAAGUGUGCAUUAUUGAAAAGGAAACCAUUCAGCAUGGAUGGAUUUGAGUUUCUAUCUUCUUGAGAAUUUCCGAUAAUACAAUCCAUCUGCCUCCACAUUUGUAACUGAAUAAGUCUCCUUCGAUCAAAACACUAUAGACAUUUUUGUGAAGUCUGAAACUGACACAUAAAUUGACAGUAAUCACAUGCUUCUGUGUUCUGCUGUGCCCAUUCAUGUGUUCUGAUCCUUAAAUUGAAGGGUGUGGUUUUGAAAUAACAAUAGCUUCCAUAUGGAAACUUGGCUGAGCUCAAAGCUUUCUCAGUAACUGGCUAGUUUUAUUAAAUCACUAAUGCAACUUUGUACAAUUCUCUU
ensembl:lncRNA